GGAAACCAUAUGACAGGAUGUUUGCAAGCAUUUUUUGGUAUAAAUAAGCCUUUUCUAAGAUACUACAGGUCACCUUCAGUUUUCUAAUCAAAGUCAAGAAAUCAGGAAAAGAAUGUCGCAGCAACACCUUAGCGCCCCAAAACAAGGCCAAAAAAAUAUGACAGGGGAUGGAAAGACAGUGCGACCACAAGGUGGAGGUGGACAACAGCAUGGAGGCGGGCAACAUCAUGGAGGCGGGCAACAACACCUUCAUGCCCCACAACAAGGCCAAAAAAAUAUGACAGGAGGUGGAAAAACAGUGCGACCACAAGGUGGAGGUGGAAAAUAAUCAUUCAAUUUUACCUAUGACUGUGCAUACUGCAGAUGAAAGUUUUAAUUUUUACGCGCCUUUAUAUAUUAAUAGAUACAUUUCUUAACUUGUAAUAAUUCUGAUCCAAGAAAUAAAUCAUAGUGAUACUUUAA